GGGGUAAACCUGCGAAACUCGAAUGAACGAACGGAGAGAUUCACCGUCACUCCGCGGCGUACGCGUGCGCGUAUUCGGAUGUCUUCGGCCUCGUGUCGGCGGGCACCGCGCGUACGCGUCGACGUCCGCGGACGGCGUGCACUUCUCUCUUAGUAACGAUUACAUCGCAACCCGUUCGACGUCGGCCUAAGCGCCGUCCGGGAGCCCCGCCGCCCCUUAACGGGGGCGACGGGACCGCGACGGACGCCGACCGGCUGUCGGACGGUAUAACGUACGACACGCGCACGCGUUUAUAACGCGUCCGGCCCGACGCAAGUCAACGUCGUAUCCGACGCUCCGCCCGAGGCGGACGUAGGUGCGGCGCGUCUGUUGUCGCAGCCGUGUUGUUUCGGACCGUGCGCGUCUCCGUCUGCGAUGAUCCAGUUUCGGGCACUCGCAGGACCCGUCUUGAAACACGGACCAAGGAGUCUAGCAUGUGUGCGAGUCAUUGAGAUUUCUCACAAUAAACUGAAAGGCGUAACGAAAGUGAAGGCGUGCGCUAGUCGCGCGCUCAGGGAGGAUGGUGUCCCGAUCCAGGUCGGGCGCUCGCACUCCCGAGGCGUCUCGUUUCCAAUCCGUGAAUGCAGGCGCGCUC
rnacentral:rRNA from 1 species